GCAUGCGCACUAAGAGAGGCAAAAUGGCAGUUAAACUGGUUUCUGCCUUUCCUCUGGAACGCUCGACUGCUUAAGAGAAAAAUGCCUCAAAUGAGCAUGUGCACAACUCCAGCAAACACGCUGGACAUGCGGCCUCUCCCAAGUGCUGGCAGGCCACUGCACAUGUGGACCCACGGGAAGAAUCAGGAGAGAAGAAAUGCAAACCCCAGAGUCAUGCCAAGUUGCCCAUCAGCCAUGUGUGUGAAUGACAGCUAUGGAUUAGCAGCAUGCUGCCCUCCUUCUCAGGAAGAGAUGGCUGAUGGCAUGUUGCAGAUGUAAUGGUGAAGUUGAGAUGAUGAUCAAAGUCUUACUUCAGACAAAUCAUGAGCCUCAGAGGAAGUGACGACAGAGAUGUCUGUGGACACUAUUGAAGAGGAAGGCUUUGCUAAAUCUUCAUGGAGCCAUGUGAGGACACAGUGUUUGAGUCACCAUUUUGAAAGCAGAGAGAUGGGGACCUCACCAGACACGGAACCUGCUGGUGCCUUGAUCUGGGACCUCUCAGGCUACAGAACUUUCUGGAUUUGAACUCCUGGCCUCAUGUGAUCCUCCUGCCUCAGCCUUCCAAUUCCAAUCCUCCUGCUGGGAUUACAGGUGUGAGUCACCAGGCUGGAACUUAUUUUGUAUAAAUCGUUUUUAAAGCUUCUUGACAGUUUUACGACCCAACAGUGUCAUUCUCAAGGACCUACUAGUGUAGCCAUUUCUUUGAAACUUUAGAAUGUAAAUGCUGAAGGAGAUACCACCUCUAUCUUACAGUCUCUAUGAAAGAGUAGGAAUCUAAGGUGGACCCUUUGUUCCAAAGUGUGAAAUUACAUUCUGUCAUGGAGAGAGUCCUUCCUAUGGAGGAGACAUUAUGCUAGAAUUUUCACACAGAUUAUUUUAUUUAACUCCAAGAACUACUCCAUGAAAUAGGCAUGAUCAUCACCUUCAUUGUUUUACAGAGAUUCUGGCUUCCCCACUGUAAGAACUGAAGAUACUGCAGCUGAAUUGAUGUCAUGAAAAGGCCUUCAUUCAAUUAGAGAGAAAAGUUGCAGCGAAGUGCAAAUUAUCAGGCUUAAGAUAAAUUAAGAAGCACUGGCACCUUCACUGAUCUUCAAACUAAGAACUGCCCAUAAAGUGGUGCUGCCGAGAUUGGAUUUCUCCUGCAUGCUCCCUCAGUGAUUUUUAUAUUUUAAUAAGACUGUUCAUUAUAGUUAGCUCCUCAUGUUGGAGCCAUUAGAUAUUUGUGGGAAAUAACAUAUCAUUAUCUCAGUUUCAUUCUGAGCCAUUUGGGAUGCUUUUAAGUUAGAAUGAUUUUUUUCUUGUCUUAAUUUUACACACACUAGUGCCUACAUGCCUGUUCAGCUUAUUUCUGUCUUUGGGUUCUUUGAUCCUAUUUUUCAACUUUAUUGUGUUAAAGUGGCUGAUGAACAGUGUCACUAACUGCUAGAUAGGAGUAGCCUCAAAUUCAGUUAAUUCAAAAAUUUACUGCCUUGAGAGAGGGGUUGACAUUCUAAGUCCUUUAUUUAUUCCGUCUCUCUCUCUCACCUAAAAUUCCAUCAGGAAGCAUUCACACACAUCUCCGUAUCUCUUCAAAUUUAGCAUUAGGGAUCUAAGCAUGGAAACAAUGACUUUGACAUUACAUGACCAUAAGAACCAAGGAUAUUAAGAGGAAUGCUUAGAGCAUAUAAAGGCAAAAAGCAAACACAACAUACACUCGACAAUUAGUGAGCAAUCAAACCAAACGCAGAUCUAGUGCAACUGAGUAAUUUUCAGUGUUGAAAUGUGAACCUAUAGAAGGUUCUAAGUUAUAUUUGUGAUUUCCAUGUAAUAAAGUACAUAUUAAGUUUAGACUGGGAUUUAGCAAAGCUAUAUAGUUAUUCUUGUAACUAUUCAAGUUUGGGAUGGGGGGAGGAUAAAGAUUAACUAUGCAGCAAAAUCCUGUCUUCUCUCUUAUUCAUUAUUUGUUCACCAAAAAGAUCUAUGAUCUGAACUGUUUUAAAUUUUUAUUUGCUAUCCCAUCUGGUGUGGUGAGAACCCUCAUAGAAUCCAGAAGUUUUUAAACUCCUACAUGGUAUUUUAUUUCAUAUUCCUUCUUUAUGUUUAUUGUGAAGGGUAGCCUAGAAUUGUUUAUUCAGUAAAUUAAUAUUUAUUGCACAUAUACUGUUUCCAAGUAUUGAGCACUAGAAAUGCAUAUAUUAAAUAUAGAAUUAAUCUCUACCCCAAGGACUUCGCAAACAAGUACAUAUGUGCAUGUGUAAUCAUUCGUUUUAUUUAUCACUAAAUUGCCAGUGAGAGAAAUUUUAGGAUGUUGACUUUAUACACAGUUAACAUUCCCAUCUUCCUCAAAUUUAGAUCUUGAUGUAGGAUUACUAAGUUCUGCAGUUGCCAAAUACAUUAUACAACCAGAAAAACAAUAUUACUUUUUGAGAUGAAUAUCAUUUUAUAAUACUAGGCAUUAUGAAACUAAAAAUGAAGAAAAUGUCUUAAUUCCAAAAGACUAUCUUACAAGCAAUAUGUUUAGUUUUCCAAUAAUUGACUAUAUUCCUCCGAUGUGGUUCAUCUCACUAUGGACGUUGAAAACUUUGUCAUGGCUUUUGCAAAACAGUUUUAUUUGGGAGCUAGUAAGAAAUAAAAUAGUCUGAUAUUUUA